GGAGAGGUGGCCGAGUGGUCGAAGGCGCACGCCUGGAAAGUGUGUAAACCGUAAGGUUUCGGGGGUUCGAAUCCCCCCCUCUUCGCCA
rnacentral:tRNA from 1 species